AUUGAACGCUGGCGGCAGGCCUAUCACAUGCAAGUCGAGCGGAUGAAGGGAGCUUGCUCCUGGAUUCAGCGGCGGACGGGUGAGUAAUGCCUAGGAAUCUGCCUGGUAGUGGGGGAUAACGUCCGGAAACGGGCGCUAAUACCGCAUACGUCCUGAGGGAGAAAGUGGGGGAUCUUCGGACCUCACGCUAUCAGAUGAGCCUAGGUCGGAUUAGCUAGUUGGUGGGGUAAAGGCCUACCAAGGCGACGAUCCGUAACUGGUCUGAGAGGAUGAUCAGUCACACUGGAACUGAGACACGGUCCAGACUCCUACGGGAGGCAGCAGUGGGGAAUAUUGGACAAUGGGCGAAAGCCUGAUCCAGCCAUGCCGCGUGUGUGAAGAAGGUCUUCGGAUUGUAAAGCACUUUAAGUUGGGAGGAAGGGCAGUAAGUUAAUACCUUGCUGUUUUGACGUUACCAACAGAAUAGGCACCGGCUAACUUCGUG
rnacentral:rRNA from 1 species